CCCAAAACCACCCACAAUCCCCCACUCCUAAUCAACCUCCCCCACUAUUCCCCAAAAAAAUACUAUAUAAAGCACACAAACAUACUCCACUAGAAAAAGACAUAUCAUAUAUACACACACACGGAAAACAAGAAAAAAAAAACACUACACUACUACUACACUAUCCUACAUAACUACAACUACAUACAGACUACACAAAAUACACACACGGAAACAAGAAAAAAACACUACACUAUCCUACAUAACUACAACUACAUACAAACUACAAAAACACACAUACACGGCUGAAACAAGAAAAAGAAAAA
rnacentral:lncRNA from 1 species